rnacentral:rRNA from 1 species
AACGAACGCUGGCGGCGUGCCUAACACAUGCAAGUCGAACGUGAAGGGGGCUUCGGUCCCUGGAAAGUGGCGCACGGGUGGGUAACGCGUGGAUAAUCCGCCCAGUGAUCUGGGAUAACAUCUCGAAAGGGGUGCUAAUACCGGAUAAGCCCACGGAGUCUUUGGACUCUGCGGGAAAAGGGGGGACCUUCGGGCCUUUUGUCACUGGAUGAGUCCGCGUACCAUUAGCUAGUUGGUGGAGUAAUAGCCCACCAAGGCUACGAUGGUUAGCUGGGCUGAGAGGAUGAUCAGCCAAACUGGACCUGAGACACGGUCCAGACUCCUACGGGAAGCAGCAGUGGGGAAUUUUGCGCAAGGGGCGAAAGCCUGACGCAGCAACGCCGCGUGAGUGAUGAAGGCCUUCGGGUCGUAAAGCUCUGUCGGGAGGGAAGAAAUGAUUAGGGGCUAAUACCCUUUGAUCUUGACGGUACCUCCGAAGGAAGCACCGGCUAACUCCGUGCCAGCCGCCGCCGUAA